rnacentral:rRNA from 1 species
AUUGAACGCUGGCGGCAGGCCUAACACAUGCAAGUCGAGCGAGCGGCGGACGGGUGUGUAAUGUAUGGGAAACUGUCCGCUGGAGGGGGAGAAAGACAGGAAAAGGUAGGGAUUACCCCAUACCAUAAGAGGUGCCCCGAUGGGAUUAGCUAGUAGGUGGGGGAACGGCUCACCCAGGCGACGAUCCCUAGCUGGUCUGAGAGGAGGACCAGACACACUGGAACUGAGACACGGUCCAGACUCCUACGGGAGGCAGCAGUGGGGAAUAUUGCACAAUGGGCGCAAGCCUGAUGCAGCCAUGCCGCGUGUGUGAAGAAGGCCUUCGGGUUGUAAAGCACUUUCAGCGGGGAGGCGUUACCCGCAGAAGAAGCACCGGCUAACUCCGUGCCAGCCGCCGCGGUAAUUC